UCCCCGAUAGUCUAGUGGUGAGGAUAUCUGCUUGUCAUCGUGGAAACACAACUCGCAGGGGACCGGGGUUCAAUUCCCCGUCGAGGAG
rnacentral:tRNA from 2 species